GAGAGGGCGGCUGGCACGGGGAUGUCUAGGAGCUCGAAGGUGGUGCUGGGCCUCUCGGUGCUGCUGACGGUGGCCACGGUGGCCGGCGUGCAUCUGAAGCAGCGGCAGGACCAGCAGAGGCUUCCUGACAGAGUGAUCAGAGACAUUGAGAGGCAAAAUCGGAAAAAAGAAAACAUUCGUCUUUUAGGAGAACAGAUUAUUUUGACUGAGCAACUUGAAGCAGAGAGAGAGAAGAUGUUGGAAAAAGGAUCUCAAAAAACUUGA